rnacentral:RNase_P_RNA from 1 species
GUGAGUUGGUGAGUGGCCAUCGGACCCCCAUUCGGGGGCUGAGGAAACUCCGCCCACAUGUAGAAUUGCAGUCCCAGAUGGGGCAAGCCGAGAGGCUUGGCAACGGAGCAGAAACGAAACGUCCACCCGGAAUUGGCUAUGACGCAUUAGUGAUGCAGAGUCUGCCUGGCUGGAAACGGUGAAACGGCCGUCCUGCAAGUGGAAAGGGCAAACAGCGCCGAUGAAGCAUCUACCGGAAGGUGCAGGUAGCCCGAUUAGCCGAAUGCCACAUAAAACAGAAGGCGGGUUACAACCAAUACAC